rnacentral:rRNA from 1 species
CUUGAACAAAUAUAAGAGGUCCAGCCUGCCCAGUGACAUAGUUUAACGGCCGCGGUACCCUAACCGUGCGAAGGUAGCAUAAUCACUUGUUCCUUAAAUAGGGACUAGUAUCAACGGCAUUACGAGGGCUGUACUGUCUCCUUUCUCCAAUCAGUGAAACUGAUCUCCCCGUGAAGAAGCGGGGAUUUUAAUAUUAGACGAGAAGACCCCAUGGAGCUUUAAGCAACGAAUUUACCACAUACCAACAACUCAACUAAUCCUAAAACCUAAAUUCUAGCUUUUGGUUGGGGGGACCGCGGAGUAUAACCCAACCUCCGCAACUAAUGGGCUCUGCCCUUAUCCACGAGCUACAACUCUAAGAAUCAUAAAAUUGAUGUCUUUGACCCGAAAACCUCGAUCAAUGAACCA